rnacentral:rRNA from 1 species
UACGUAGGGGGCAAGCGUUGUCCGGAAUUAUUGGGCGUAAAGAGCGCGUAGGCGGUCCGAUAAGUCGGCUGUGAAAGUCAAGGGCUCAACCCUUGAAAGCCGGCCGAUACUGUCGGACUAGAGUCCGGAAGAGGCGAGUGGAAUUCCCGGUGUAGCGGUGAAAUGCGCAGAUAUCGCUUGGAACGCCGAAGGUGAAAACAGGCUGCUGGGGUUGCGCCGACGCUGAGACACGAAAGCCAGGGGAGCAAACAGG